rnacentral:rRNA from 1 species
UCCUACGGGAGGCAGCAGUAGGGAAUCUUCCACAAUGGACGAAAGUCUGAUGGAGCAAUGCCGCGUGAGUGAAGAAGGUUUUCGGAUCGUAAAACUCUGUUGUUGAAGAAGAACAUAUGUGAGAGUAACUGUUCACGUACUGACGGUAUUCAACCAGAAAGCCACGGCUAACUACGUGCCAGCAGCCGCGGUAAU